rfam:Dictyocaulus viviparus strain HannoverDv2000 D_viviparus-1.0_Cont232.14, whole genome shotgun sequence.
GCUUCGGUAGUGUAAUGGAUCAGCACGGCACACCGGAUAUCUGUAAGUGCGGGUUCGAGUCCCGCCUGUGGUU